GGGUGAGUAACACGUAGGUGAUCUACCCCAGAGACGGGGAUAACGGGUGGAAACAUCCGCUAAUACCGGAUAGACUUGUUCGGUCAAAGGGACAAGGAAAGGCUCCGGCGCUCUGGGAGGAGCCUGCGGCCCAUCAGCUAGUUGGCGGGGUAACGGCCCACCAAGGUAAAGACGGGUAGGGGGUGUGAGAGCAUGGCCCCCCACAAUGGGACUGGAACACGGCCCAUACUCCUACGGGAGGCAGCAGCAGGGAAUAUUGCACAAUGGACGGAAGUCUGAUGCAGCGACGCCGCGUGGAUGAAGAAGGCCCUCGGGUUGUAAAAUCCUUUACAGGGGGAAGAGGAAGGACGGUACCCCUGGAACAAGUGUCGGCUAACUACGUGCCAGCAGCCGCGGUAAGACGUAGGACACAAGCGUUAUCCGGAUUUACUGGGCGUAAAGCGUCUGCAGGCGGACAGGUAAGUUGGGCGUGAAAGCUCCGGGCCCAACCCGGAGAGGUCGUUCAAUACUGCGUGUCUAGAGGGUGUCAGAGGGGAGUGGAAUUUCCGGAGUAGCGGUAAAAUGCGCAGAGAUCGGAAAGAACACCAAUGGCGAAGGCAGCUCCCUGGGGCAACCCUGACGCUAAGAGACGAAAGCUAGGGGAGCGAACAGGAUUAGAGACCCUGGUAGUCCUAGCCCUAAACGAUGGAUGCUGGAUGUGGGGCCAUAGCGCUCCGUGUCGAAGCGAACGCGUUAAGCAUCCCGCCUGGGGACUACGGCCGCAAGGUUAAAACUCAAACGAAUUGACGGGACGCCGCACAAGCAGCGGAGCGUGUGGUUUAAUUCGAUGUUACACGAAGAACCUUACCUGGGUUUGACAUCUAGGUGGUAGUGAAGCGAAAGCGGAGCGACCCUUCGGGGAGCCUAGACAGGUGCUGCAUGGCUGUCGUCAGCUCGUGCCGUGAGGUGUCGGGUUAAGUCCCGUAACGAGCGCAACCCUUGCCCUCCGUUAUACGUGUCAGAGGGGACUGCCGGCGGUAAGCCGGAGGAAGGUGGGGAUGACGUCAAGUCAGCAUGGCCUUUAUAUCCAGGGCUACACACACGCUACAAUGGCCAGUACAAAGGGCAGCGAAGCCGCGAGGUGGAGCGAAUCCCAGCAAAGCUGGUCGU
rnacentral:rRNA from 1 species